rnacentral:rRNA from 1 species
GGUUAAGCGACUAAGCGUACACGGUGGAUGCCCUGGCAGUCAGAGGCGAUGAAGGACGUGCUAAUCUGCGAAAAGCGUCGGUAAGGUGAUAUGAACCGUUACAGCCGGCGAUGUCCGAAUGGGGAAACCCAGUGUGAUUCGUCACACUAUCGUUAACUGAAUACAUAGGUUAACGAGGCGAACCGGGGGAACUGAAACAUCUAAGUACCCCGAGGAAAAGAAAUCAACCGAGAUUCCCCCAGUAGCGGCGAGCGAACGGGGAGCAGCCCAGAGUCUGAAUCAGCUUGUGUGUUAGUGGAACGGUCUGGAAAGUCCGACGGUACAGGGUGAUAGUCCCGUACACCAAAAUGCACAGGCUGUGAACUCGAAGAGUAGGGCGGGACACGUGGUAUCCUGUCUGAAUAUGGGGGGACCAUCCUCCAAGGCUAAAUACUCCUGACUGACCGAUAGUGAACCAGUACCGUGAGGGAAAGGCGAAAAGAACCCCGGCGAGGGGAGUGAAAAAGAACCUGAAACCGUGUACGUACAAGCAGUGGGAGCACCUUCGGGUGUGACUGCGUACCUUUUGUAUAAUGGGUCAGCGACUUAUAUUCUGUAGCAAGGUUAACCGUAUAGGGGAGCCGCAGGGAAACCGAGUCUUAACUGGGCGUUAAGUUGCAGGGUAUAGACCCGAAACCCGGUGAUCUAGCCAUGGGCAGGUUGAAGGUUGGGUAACACUAACUGGAGGACCGAACCGACUAAUGUUGAAAAAUUAGCGGAUGACUUGUGGCUGGGGGUGAAAGGCCAAUCAAACCGGGAGAUAGCUGGUUCUCCCCGAAAGCUAUUUAGGUAGCGCCUCGUGAAUUCAUCUUCGGGGGUAGAGCACUGUUUCGGCUAGGGGGUCAUCCCGACUUACCAACCCGAUGCAAACUACGAAUACCGAAGAAUGUUAUCACGGGAGACACACGGCGGGUGCUAACGUCCGUCGUGAAGAGGGAAACAACCCAGACCGCCAGCUAAGGUCCCAAAGUCAUGGUUAAGUGGGAAACGAUGUGGGAAGGCACAGACAGCCAGGAUGUUGGCUUAGAAGCAGCCAUCAUUUAAAGAAAGCGUAAUAGCUCACUGGUCGAGUCGGCCUGCGCGGAAGAUGUAACGGGGCUAAACCAUGCACCGAAGCUGCGGCAGCGACACUAUGUGUUGUUGGGUAGGGGAGCGUUCUGUAAGCCUGCGAAGGUGACCUGUGAGGGUUGCUGGAGGUAUCAGAAGUGCGAAUGCUGACAUAAGUAACGAUAAAGCGGGUGAAAAGCCCGCUCGCCGGAAGACCAAGGGUUCCUGUCCAACGUUAAUCGGGGCAGGGUGAGUCGACCCCUAAGGCGAGGCCGAAAGGCGUAGUCGAUGGGAAACAGGUUAAUAUUCCUGUACUUGGUGUUACUGCGAAGGGGGACGGAGAAGGCUAUGUUAGCCGGGCGACGGUUGUCCCGGUUUAAGCAUGUAGGCUGGUUGUCCAGGCAAAUCCGGAUAAUCAAGGCUGAGGUGUGAUGACGAGGCACUACGGUGCUGAAGUAACAAAUGCCCUGCUUCCAGGAAAAGCCUCUAAGCAUCAGGUAACAUCAAAUCGUACCCCAAACCGACACAGGUGGUCAGGUAGAGAAUACCAAGGCGCUUGAGAGAACUCGGGUGAAGGAACUAGGCAAAAUGGUGCCGUAACUUCGGGAGAAGGCACGCUGGUGUGUAGGUGAAGUCCCUGCGGAUGGAGCUGAGACCAGUCGAAGAUACCAGCUGGCUGCAACUGUUUAUUAAAAACACAGCACUGUGCAAACACGAAAGUGGACGUAUACGGUGUGACGCCUGCCCGGUGCCGGAAGGUUAAUUGAUGGGGUUAUCCGUAAGGAGAAGCUCUUGAUCGAAGCCCCGGUAAACGGCGGCCGUAACUAUAACGGUCCUAAGGUAGCGAAAUUCCUUGUCGGGUAAGUUCCGACCUGCACGAAUGGCGUAAUGAUGGCCAGGCUGUCUCCACCCGAGACUCAGUGAAAUUGAACUCGCUGUGAAGAUGCAGUGUACCCGCGGCAAGACGGAAAGACCCCGUGAACCUUUACUAUAGCUUGACACUGAACAUUGAGCCUUGAUGUGUAGGAUAGGUGGGAGGCUUUGAAGCGUGGACGCCAGUCUGCGUGGAGCCAACCUUGAAAUACCACCCUUUAAUGUUUGAUGUUCUAACGUUGGCCCCUUACCGGGGUUGCGGACAGUGUCUGGUGGGUAGUUUGACUGGGGCGGUCUCCUCCCAAAGCGUAACGGAGGAGCACGAAGGUUAGCUAAUCCUGGUCGGACAUCAGGAGGUUAGUGCAAUGGCAUAAGCUAGCUUGACUGCGAGCGUGACGGCGCGAGCAGGUGCGAAAGCAGGUCAUAGUGAUCCGGUGGUUCUGAAUGGAAGGGCCAUCGCUCAACGGAUAAAAGGUACUCCGGGGAUAACAGGCUGAUACCGCCCAAGAGUUCAUAUCGACGGCGGUGUUUGGCACCUCGAUGUCGGCUCAUCACAUCCUGGGGCUGAAGUAGGUCCCAAGGGUAUGGCUGUUCGCCAUUUAAAGUGGUACGCGAGCUGGGUUUAGAACGUCGUGAGACAGUUCGGUCCCUAUCUGCCGUGGGCGCUGGAGAAUUGAGGGGGGCUGCUCCUAGUACGAGAGGACCGGAGUGGACGCAUCACUGGUGUUCGGGUUGUCAUGCCAAUGGCACUGCCCGGUAGCUAAAUGCGGAAGAGAUAAGUGCUGAAAGCAUCUAAGCACGAAACUUGCCCCGAGAUGAGUUCUCCCUGAGACUUUAAGUCUCCUGAAGGAACGUUAAAGACGAUGACGUUGAUAGGCCGGGUGUGUAAGCGCAGCGAUGCGUUGAGCUAACCGGUACUAAUGAACCGUGAGGCUUAACCUU